rnacentral:rRNA from 1 species
AUACGUAGGUGGCAAGCGUUGUCCGGAAUUAUUGGGCGUAAAGCGCAUGUAGGCGGUGCCUUAAGUCUGUCGUGAAACUGCGGGGCCUAACCCCGUAUGGCGAUGGAAACUGUGGCACUUGAGUGCAGGAGAGGAAAGGGGAACUCCCAGUGUAGCGGUGAAAUGCGUAGAUAUUGGGAAGAACACCGGUGGCGAAGGCGCCUUUCUGGACUGUGUCUGACGCUGAGAUGCGAAAGCCAGGGUAGCGAACGGGAUUAGAUACCCCGGUAGUCCUGGCCGUAAACGAUGGGUACUAGGUGUGGGAGGUAUCGACCCCUUCCGUGCCGGAGUUAACGCAAUAAGUACCCCGCCUGGGGAGUACGGCCGCAAGGCUUAAACUCAAAUGAAUCGACGGGG